rnacentral:rRNA from 1 species
GUGCCAGCCGCCGCGGUAAUACCGGCAGCCCGAGUGAUGGCCGAUCUUAUUGGGCCUAAAGCGUCCGUAGCUGGCCGCGCAAGUCCAUCGGGAAAUCCACCCGCCCAACGGGUGGCCGUCCGGUGGAAACUGCACAGCUUGGGACCGGAAGGCUCGAAGGGUACGUUCGGGGUAGGAGUGAAAUCCCAUAAUCCUGGACGGACCGCCGAUGGGGAAACCACCUCAGGGGAACGGAUCCGACUGUGAGGGACGAAAGCCAGGGUCUCGAACCGGAUUAGAAACCCCAGUAGUCC